GAUGAACGCUGGCGGCGUGCCUAAUACAUGCAAGUCGAGCGAACGGACGAGAAGCUUGCUUCUCUGAUGUUAGCGGCGGACGGGUGAGUAACACGUGGAUAACCUACCUAUAAGACUGGGAUAACUUCGGGAAACCGGAUCUAAUACCGGAUGAUAUUUUGAACCGCAUGGUUCAAAAGUGAAAGACGGUCUUGCUGUCACUUAUAGAUGGAUCCGCGCUGCAUUAGCUAGUUGGUAAGGUAACGGCUUACCAAGGCAACGAUGCAUAGCCGACCUGAGAGAGUGAUCGGCCACACUGGAACUGAGACACGGUCCAGACUCCUACGGGAGGCAGCAGUAGGGAAUCUUCCGCAAUGGGCGAAAGCCUGACGGAGCAACGCCGCGUGAGUGAUGAAGGUCUUCGGAUCGUAAAACUCUGUUAUUAGAGAAGAACAUAUGUGUAAGUAACUGUGCACAUCUUGACGGUACCUAAUCAGAAAGCCACGGCUAACUACGUG
rnacentral:rRNA from 1 species